AGGACGAACGCUGGCGGCGUGCUUAACACAUGCAAGUCGAACGCUGUCCAUUCGGUGGCAACACUGAUGAAGACGGAGUGGCGAACGGGUGAGUACCACGUGAGCAACCUGCCCCGAAGACCGGGACAACACUCGGAAACGAGUGCUAAUACCGGAUACCCCCAUUGGAUCGCAUGAUCCGGUGAGGAAAUGGAUUCCGCUUCGGGAGGGGCUCGCGGCCUAUCAGCUAGUUGGUGAGGUAACGGCUCACCAAGGCUUCGACGGGUAGCUGGUCUGAGAGGACGAUCAGCCACACUGGGACUGAGACACGGCCCAGGACACCUACGGGUGGCAGCAGUCGAGAAUUUUUCUCAAUGGGGGAAACCCUGAAGGAGCGACGCCGCGUGGAGGAUGAAGGCUUUCGGGUUGUAAACUCCUGUCAUUUGAGAACAAGGUGCGUACGUUAACUGCGUGCGCAUUGAUAGUAUCAGAAGAGGAAGAGACGGACUAACUCUGUGACCG
rnacentral:rRNA from 1 species